rnacentral:lncRNA from 1 species
AUGGUGACCUCGUGUUGUUCAUCAUCUCCUUUGGGACCUGGCUGCAGCUCUCAGCAUCUCCCAGCAUUGGCCUCGCUUUCCAGAACGGCACCUACGAGCUCAGCAGGCUUCGUGAAGGCUGACUCCUUUGUGUCUGGUUUGAGCCUGGAUUUCCCAUUAGCCAUUUAAACAUUGUAAGCAAUCAGAUUUUUGGUUUCAUGGAAACACUUGGAAGACCUUGAGCUCUUCUUUAAGUGGAAUGCACGGGUUCAGAAUGAGUGUGUAUCUGCAUUUGCAAUGCAUUGCUGGUUAAUGUGCUGGCUUGUCG